UCUAGGCUCAUUUUUUGCUUGCACUUGCGUUUCCUCUGCUGAGACAUGGGGUGGCGAUCUUUGUUAAGCAAUGCCAUGGGUGGGCUUGCAGGAGAGAGGAGUCUGUGGAAGAUAAAAGGCCGCUGCUCUGAAGGAAAGUGGCCUCAGGAUCCUCCUUUCAGGGAAAACAUUCAUUCCUUUCUCUUUCGGCUGCAAAUGAUAGAACUGAGGUUCUCUUCCAUGGGAAAAGUGAACCAUCGGUCCAGAACAAGGACCCCGGGACGUCACCCUCACCUGGCUGGGUCCCAAGUCCCUGGAACUGGUUCCCUUUUCUGUGGCCGGUAAAGAGCCAAAAGAAGCACAAUAUGAACUUGACACUGAGGCUCCUCACGAUGCAGACCUGGUGCCAGAAGAUGGUUCUUCUGAAAGCAAAGAAAAACCCAAUUACCUUCAGAGGAAAGUUGACAACAGCAGGGCUCAGCAACAUGGAGUGAUGUGGGCUCCAGUGUCCCCUGGAUCCCAAGCUUGCCCAUGUUGCUCAUCUUCAGAAACUAGUCUCUCUGAGGCCGUCUUUGUUUUUUUUUUUUUUUUUUUUUUUUUUUGCCAACCUAAAAGGAAGGUUUUCCUUAAUCAGAGAUGACGGAGAGAACACAUUGAAAAUGCACUGCUGUAUUAUACUUUGGCUGGACCUGGCCAAUCAUUCGAGUGUGUUGGGUGUUCAAAGUGCACAGCAAGUUAUUGUUGAGAGCCCUGUGACACCCAGGGGCAUCACUGUGAUCCCAGGGGACGGAUUUUAGGUCACACCUUUAUUCACACCACAGCUUCAGGCUCUGGAGAAUACCCAGACAGGUCAAUGAACCUCAACUGAUA
rnacentral:lncRNA from 1 species